CUUCCUUUCAUCCUCUCAUUCUUGAGCUUCUUCAAACCAUUCUAUGGAGUUCAGAUAAUCUGCUGAUCCAAAGCUUUGAAGAAGACAUUCAAGAAGCUAGAUCAUGACGUCAAUAUACAAGACUUUCUUGGAUCAAGCACUUAAAUUGUUGAGGAACUGACUAAUCAUUUAAGAUUAGAAGUACAACAGAGGCUGAGGUAUAUGCUUUUGGUAGUCUAAUGUGCAACUUUUGUUUCAAGAUCAGAGGUGUUUUUUGAUCUUUCUCAAUAUGGUAAAAUUAAUAUCUUCUCAUUAACUUGUAAAUUUAUGGCUUCUCAAUUCAUUGCUUUGUUGUUGUUCUGAAUUUGUGUUGUUAGUUU